rnacentral:rRNA from 1 species
CGGAGCUUGCUCCACCGGAAAAAGAAGAGUGGCGAACGGGUGAGUAACACGUGGGUAACCUGCCCAUCAGAAGGGGAUAACACUUGGAAACAGGUGCUAAUACCGUAUAACAAUCGAAACCGCAUGGUUUUGAUUUGAAAGGCGCUUUCGGGUGUCGCUGAUGGAUGGACCCGCGGUGCAUUAGCUAGUUGGUGAGGUAACGGCUCACCAAGGCCACGAUGCAUAGCCGACCUGAGAGGGUGAUCGGCCACAUUGGGACUGAGACACGGCCCAAACUCCUACGGGAGGCAGCAGUAGGGAAUCUUCGGCAAUGGACGAAAGUCUGACCGAGCAACGCCGCGUGAGUGAAGAAGGUUUUCGGAUCGUAAAACUCUGUUGUUAGAGAAGAACAAGGAUGAGAGUAACUGUUCAUCCCUUGACGGUAUCUAACCAGAAAGCCACGGCUAACUACGUGCCAGCAGCCGCGGUAAUACGUAGGUGGCAAGCGUUGUCCGGAUUUAUUGGGCGUAAAGCGAGCGCAGGCGGUUUCUUAAGUCUGAUGUGAAAGCCCCCGGCUCAACCGGGGAGGGUCAUUGGAAACUGGGAGACUUGAGUGCAGAAGAGGAGAGUGGAAUUCCAUGUGUAGCGGUGAAAUGCGUAGAUAUAUGGAGGAACACCAGUGGCGAAGGCGGCUCUCUGGUCUGUAACUGACGCUGAGGCUCGAAAGCGUGGGGAGCAAACAGGAUUAGAUACCCUGGUAGUCCACGCCGUAAACGAUGAGUGCUAAGUGUUGGAGGGUUUCCGCCCUUCAGUGCUGCAGCUAACGCAUUAAGCACUCCGCCUGGGGAGUACGACCGCAAGGUUGAAACUCAAAGGAAUUGACGGGGGCCCGCACAA